AGCCUGAGAAUGUCAGCUACCGAGAAAGGGGUGGAGGCCACAGGACUGGGCAGCAUCUCGUAGCUGAGGGGAGGAGCUGACAAGUUCUCGACCACAGCCAGGUGUCGCACCCCCAACUUCCUCUUCUGUAGUGGCAGUCCUAAUAGAUUCUGGGAUGCACACUCAAGAUCCUGGACCGCGCCUUCCCUUGACUGGGGCACCAGGACCGGGUGAUAAGAUCGCGGUUCUCCAUUGGUUCCCACAGAAACCACGUGCUAACCCUGAGCCUUCCUACCCAAAAACUGACAGAAACAUAACAUAACCAUUAGAGAGGCUUCACCCAGAAACCGAUGGAAGCAAAUCCAGAAACCCACAGCCAAACAUUAGAACAAUUCAGUAGAAUGUGGAAACAGCUAUCAUUCCAAGCAAACCCAGAAGGGACUCUGGAGAAAGAAUGGCAGUGGUACCUGUUUGAAGCUUCAUGAGUCUCCUCGACUCCAUCACCUGCACUUUCAAGCUAAGCCAAAUGCAGCUGCUUGGCGACCAUAUUGUCUGUAUUUCCCCUACAAUUCCACUCAGUAUAUCUCUUAUACUAUGCUUUUUCCUAA
rnacentral:lncRNA from 1 species